rnacentral:lncRNA from 1 species
CUUGGCAUUUGUUCCAUUUUAUCUAUGCAUAAGCACUUGACAUCUGUCCAUUUGGCUCUAAAACUGUAUAUCAGUGCUUCCUUCGAAUGCUGUCUCGGUGUGUACUGUCUUGUAUGUUUUUUCCUUCUUCUUCUUCACUGCAUCUCCGCGAAAACCUAUUCCUCUUUGUAAAGGGGUAUGCUUUUGGGUGUGGAGUUUUGUUGGGUUGGUAUUUUAGGGUCUAGGAUUCUGUUUGAUUAUUUUUUUUUUUUUCAUUUGGAGUUGUGUUGGAAUAUGGGUCGUGGGUUUUCUCGACAAUUUUGGGUUCUGUUUGUGGUGCUGUUUGGGUGUGGAGUUUUCUUGGGUCGGUAUUUGUUGUGCCAGAGUACAUCUCCAUUGUGUUUCUGGGUUUAGUUGUUGGUAUUUAAAUUUUUAAGUGCUUAGAAGUUUUUUUUUUUUUUUUGUUAAGUGCUUAACUCAUGUCCUUUGUUUUCAGUUGGAGAAUGUUGGGAUGAAAAUUUUUGCAAUAGAAUCACUUGAUUUUGAUUCCGUCUAACUUAUUAUAUACUAUCUAUUACUGGAACUGCUAUGUAGGAAAUGAAUUCUUUAAGCAGCAGAAGUAUCCCGAGGCAUACAAAGAAAACCGAAAGAUCCUAGGAUAUUAAAUCUAUUUGAAUAUAAUUGAUAAUACUUAUAUUUAAUGGAAAAUGCUGGUCUUUAUCUGUCUAAACUCUUCAAUGCUUUCAAGCUCUAUAGUAACAGAGCAGCAUGAUAUACUAAGCUGAAGGUUUAAAGGAUGUAUUGAAUAAUGGCAAAGCACGAUAUACCAACGGGUCUAAGUUUAAUGUACAGAAUAGUGGUAAUGUAUAUAAUUGCAGAAUUUUUUUUGUUUUUGGAUUUUGGUUCUUUGUUUAUUUCAUUUUGUGUUACUUGCUGUUUUGAUCUUUUUGUGUUGAUUCUAUUCCCCUGUGAUAUGUUAUGUCUAAUAACAUAAACAUAUAAUGUUGGGUUUUUUGUUUUGGUACCCUUCAUUGGCAUUCUAUAUGGUUUGGGCUCCUUUAAGAAGAAGGGACAAAAGCAAAUAAGGUGUAUGAUCUGAUGUGUUUUCACAAGAUAACGUGUUAAUUGAAAGUUUAAUAAGCUGUGAUGUUUUGAUUCCGUAUAAGAUUUGAAUAUUGUACUUUGUUUCUAAAACUUCCAAUAAACAAGAGAAAAUAAUCACAAACCCCAAAAUUUUCCUGUCAAAGUCUAUACUAAAAUUGAUCCAAAAUAAAUACAAUGGUGUCAAAGAAAGACAACGAACAAAAAUAAAUACGUUUAAGGGAUAAAAAAUAUAACCAAGUUUAAUUUAUCAUUUUUGGAUAUAACAAAAUAGUAAAUUAUUCUAAAUUUUUUAGAAUUUAAUAUUUCUUUAAACUUUUUAUUUAUAUAAUAUAAUUUGUCGUACAGUAUUUUUAAUUUUAUAUAAAAAUAAAUUAUGCUCUAAAUUUUUUAUUUUUUUUCCUUUCAAAUGAACACAUGAAAAAAAAAGUGUAUCACAACUUGAAAAUACAACUAAAAACUAGUAGAUUAGAAAACCCUUUUUCUCAGUUUGGUAAGGAUAAAAAUAAUAAUUUGAUAUUAAGUGUAAUCAAUUUUUUUUCUAACAUUCCAAGAAUGAGAAGUUAAUACAUCUUUACUUGAAAUCAUUUUCCUUUUUUUUUUAAAAAAAAAGUCAGUUAUUUUUAGGGGAAGUGAAUUAAAAUUACGUCUGAUUUCAUUUUAUUUUUUUAAGUUGUUGGAAAAUUAAAAAAAUAAAUGCAUGUACAUUAUUUUUUUAAAAAAAAAACAAACAAACAAACAGGGAUUCUUUUUUAUGAAAAAGUUACAAUAAACUGUCCUGUGUCUCCCUCUGAUAUUCUAAUGUUUUUGUUAAGAAUCAGAGCUUGUUUUCUCAAGAUUUCUUCACUCCUCUGAUUUUUUUCCCCCAUACCUUUUUCUUUUUGUCACAUUUUUUUGUUUCGCUCUCCAUUUUUAGAACCAUUUUUCAAAUUUUAGUCACUUCUGUAUACAAGGGGCUUAAUCAUUAUUUUAACAUGGAUUACAAGCUAUAUCACAGUAGAAAAUAUUUUAUAAAAUGGACAACCUAUUUUUUCUAUCUAAUCUAUAAACAGCACAAAGGAGUAUAGUUUAUGAUAACAUACUAUGUUCUAGUUUAACACAUAAAUCAAACAUGAAAAACUAAAGCACCCAGCAAACUUAGUCAAAAUGGAGAACCCCACGCAUAUAAUAGUGUCCAAAAUAUAAACAAUUAAUAGCAUGGGAUCGCAAAUACAAACCUAAAAUAAACUAUUAAAAAAUUCACCAUCAAAUAAUAAUUAUGGUUAUAUUAACAUUUCCGACUUCUAUUUGAAUUGGCAUUUUGAACAAAAACUUAGGUAGCUAUUACAGUUUGACAGCAAGACUUAUUGACAGAGUUCCAAAACAAGAAGUUUGUAGGUAUAGACAAAGAGGAAGAAAAUGGAAAAAAGAAAGGUAAAAGAAAAAAAAAAUGGAGCAAACUCAAUCGAAUAUUUCCCAAGUGGUGGAAGAUGGAAUAUGAUCAAAGGUCUCCCACUUGGUUGUGACUACAACAGGCUUUAUUCUGGCAUUAGAUACCUUAAGUUCAUCCAGGGUUUCUACACAUUUUUGCACUCUCUUUCCCUGAAAAAGCAAAUAGUAGAUUAUUCUCUGUGACUUACCAAUUCAACUUUUGCAUAGUCCAAACACUGUAGAUUUCCUGUCUAACAAUAUUUUCCACGGUAAAGGUACUCUAAAAUAAACAAAGCAACUUUUCCUUAAUUGUUUGCUUUCCUUACCUAAAGUAUUAUAGGAAGUGUUAAUGUUCUUUAAUCAUACUUUUAAUUUCACGUUGGUAUAUAAUAUACAAUUAUUAAAUAAAAUGCAUAUUAUCAAGAUAAGAUUGUAAAUAUGAUCAGAAAACGACAUAAUAGCAACCAUGAAGCUGCAUGUAAGUUUUGUCUUUAAUUUUAUGACAAGAUUAAAGAAAUGAUUAUGUUAUUUAAAGAUGUUUUUCACCCACAUGACCAUACCAUGAUAUUUAGACGAAUUACCAUUCAAAUGAAACCAAACAAACACCAAAACAAGUAUAGGUGAGAGAAAUUGGCACUAUAUUGAAAAUACCUGCAAAUGUUUCUGUGCAGAAGCAUCGCCUUCUGCAGUAAUGCUUUCUAAUUUGAUUGCUUGUCUCAUAAGCAUCUCGAUUAGUGUUGUAAUUUGAACUUCCGGUACUUUGACUCCGUUGGAAAUAGACUUUUCAAUGGCAGAGACCUACAUCAGAAAGAAAAUGUAUAUUGUAUGUUAUGUUCGGACAAAAUUUCGGGUGCUUACUACUUAUAUCAAGCAAUAUGUUUCAGAUACGGAUUCAAACUUAGGCGUGAAAGGAAUAGUAUUGUUGAAGCUGAUGGUUGUUUGAGUUUACGUUGAAGGAUAUAUCAUAUAAACAUUGAUGAAGUUAAUUGAGAUAGAGUUUAUGUCUAAAAUGUUCAUGAUUAUAACCUUAACAGCUAUAAAUAACACAUACGCAUAUAAAAAAAAUCAACCAAAAUCAACCAGUCACAUUUGGCUAAUUAUCAUUGAAAUACAUUUAUAAAAAAGAAAUGAAGUUUGAGACGCCACAUAAUAUAACUACACAAUAUGAUGUCAUAUUCACUCAAAUUGUAACACAGACUUGGUCCAUGUAGCACAGAGCUAAGAGGUUAGGUUACUAUUAUUAUUAUUACUGAUGGGGUUUGUAUGUUUGUGCAUUUCCUUCAGUAUGCUAAAAUACAGACCCAGGAUUCCAGUUACAGCUGUUUUGACAAAGACAAUUAAUGUAUCACUUUCAUCUUUUUUCUGAGCAAAAACAAUGUAUCACUCACUACUUAUGACACUAUCCCACCGGCUACCAAGGAAAACUGUCAUGCAAUACACUCAUUGACCCACCGUCAAUUCUACCUUAAUCAUUGACAGAGGACAAAAAUAAAAGAAAAGAAGGAGAAAAAUCGGAUGAUAAAUGAAUAGCGAUAUAGAUUAUUUGAUGAAAAAGAGAAAAAACUAUAAGAAAAUGAAGAUUUUAUUUUAAAAAAUAAAAUAAACAGAUAAUCAUGUGUUUUUACUUUUAAACAAAAUCCUUCUAUUCUAUACUAUACUUGGUAACACAAAUCAUGUUCGGUGUGUCUUCUUUAACUUUUCAAAAAAAAAAAAUUCAUUUUUUUAUGACAAGAUUUUUUAACCCAUCUCGAUUUCCAAAUUUUUCAUUCAUUUGCUACUUUUUUCUCUCUCUUGUUUUUUCAUCUCUCCCUUUUUCCUUCUCAUCCACACUGGACGGAAAAGAAUAGCCACCGACAUGCAUACACGGUAAUAAGAAUACAACCAUUUACUUUUAACAUUUUUACAGUAACUAUACAUUGAACUGUUGUGAAGUUAUUCGAAACAUUGAAUUGGUAGGAUGUGAAAAUGAUUCAGAUACCUGGUCUGCAAGCUGAUCAAGGUGGAGUGCAAUAGUGUUGAUUGCGCGAUGUGCGUUUUGGAUCUUAGCGUUGAUACGCAUCUGGAUGAAGCGUCGUUCGAUGCUGGAAGGGUCUUGGAUCAACACCACUUUUGAUCUGUCUUUCACUCCGCACGCGUCCAAAUACUCUCCGUUUUGUCGCUCUUUGCCUCUGUACACCACUUUCUGUUCAUCCACCUGUAACCCCGUUUCCCCACUCAGCACCUUCUUCACUUCCCCUGUCAUUUCAUUUCAUGUCACAUCAUUUUCACACUAUACCCUCCUCCCACUUCAAUUAUCAUCAAAUCAGACCCAUCUCCACAUGUUUCCUCUCAGACAUCCAAUAUUAUUAUAUUCUUUAAUUUUCGUUUGCAUUUUCUGAAUUAAUAAUUUAUUAAAAUUAUGCUUUUUAACAUAAAAGAAAUAAAUAAUGGUUGUAUUUAUUAUAGUAUAAAGGCAAAACACUCGUAUGUUCUUAAAAUCUUUUACACAAAUCCACGCAAUUAAAAAGAUCAAUUAUACUUAUUCUAAUUAAAUCUUUAAAUUUAAUUAUUUAAUGUUACUUUGAUUCUUCUGCGUUAAGUAAUAUUAUUUUUACGUUAUUCUUAAAAGACAAUCAAACUGUUUGAAAAUUAUAUUAACAUCGUGUUUUGCUUGUUCCCAACAUAAAAAUUUGAUAAUACACAAAGACUAAACUCUUCAUUCUAUAUCUUAAUUAGAAUUUUCAAAGAAAAUUGAGCAAAAAAACUAGCAGACAAUGCCAUGAUACGUGGGCACGUAGCAUCAGCACCACCGAUGGAUUCAUAAUUCUGCAUUGAAACAGCCACCUAACUCAAUUUCAACAACAUUACUCUUCGCAGUGGUAUUUUUCUCAUUGACUAGGCAGAGCAAAAUAAAAUUAACAAUGGAAGUUUAGAUCCAGAACUCGUCUUACCGAAAGUGGCCAUCGAACUGACGCAGAUCUCGUAACGGAGAGCACCGUAGGCGAUUCGAAGGCGCAAAUUGCGUGCUGGAGCAUCCGUUUGCACAGUCCUUUUCUGCACCAACAUUCCUCCGGGUCUCAUUUCCCACUCCGUCUCUUCUUCUCCCGCUGUCGUCGUCGUCGACGACGAAUUCUCUCUGGCGCUCGGUUUCUUCCUUAUCAUUUUGAACUCAGUUUUCCCGGGAAAAUGAAAUACAGUGGUGGUGAGUGUUUUUUCUAGGGAAAAUGUCUAACGCGUGACGAGCUGUAUUUGAAAAAACUGUGUAACCUUUGCCGACACACAAAUAGGUUGCAACUUUUGCUGGUGCCGAGAUUUUAUAUGGUAUCAGUCGAGGAGGGGGUAAACACAGAAUAUUGCGUCAUUUCUCACUAAUGCUAUUUAACUCAGAGCGUUAUUAUUACUUUAUUGUAAAUUUAAAAAAAAAAAAGGUAAUACUUAUAUACUACCAAUAAAUAAAUGUUAGCAUUGUUAUAUUUAAAUAUUCAGAUUUAAUUAACCUUUGGUCUCCGCAGUUUUAAAAGGAAACUUAAUUACGCGUUUAUCUUCCUAUCUUUUAAAUUAAGUCAGUUUAUCAUACAUUUAAUUAUCAUAAAGUUGCUGACAGAAGAAGACGCUGUUAUAUCUGACAUGAACAAUCGACGAUGAUGUACACGUUAAUAUGUUACCACUUCGUAUACUUCUGAAAAAUCUAAAAUUAAAAUACAUAAUUAACUUGUAAUUAAAAAACUAUGAAGAUAAGGUAGAUUUAAAAAGAGUAUUAUGAACAAUAUUUUCUUGUGAUCAUAUAAAAAUAUUUUAGAUUUUAGAAAAUAUAAAACCUGAGUCAUAAAAAUUGGAAGAGAGGAGACUAUGGAGUGUGGAGGGAAAUAAUGGUGGUGAUGCGAAGUAUGAGGGAGAAUGUUGGACCAAUGAGACGUAUGCCACGUGUAGGAGUGAGUUAGCUAGUGUGUAGUGACAGCUAAGCUUGCCGACAGUUGAAGGAACACGCGGAAUGAACAUGUUGCUUUUGCUUAAUGUUGAAAAGGGACACGUGGAUGGGUGGCGUUGGAUGAGGAUUUUUAAGUUCCUAUGAUUGCAGUUUGAGCGUUGUUGUGGUUGGUUUAUGAUUAAUAAUUUGGUUUUAUGUGGUUGGUUUGUGUUUGAUUAGUCUCUCGUUUUCAUAAGUAGGCAGCGAAAAUACCCAAAAAUGACAUUACUUAGGGUAUAAAUUAUGGUGGUUUUUUAAGAUAGAUGGAUAAGGUUUAACAACUUGCUGUUAAGUUAUAUUAAGAGUGAGGAUUGAAUUGCAAAAGUUGAUUAUGAUUAGGGAACUUGAACAUCCCUUUGACUAAAUCACGCUUACUUGCCAAAUGGAUCAUAGUUGUCACUGAUUAGGAUGGCUAGCUGCUGAUGUCAAAUAAUCAUAAUAAACCCUAAUAACUCAUCCAUUCAAUCAUCACUAUAUUAUUGACUUCAAAAUUCCAUAACUAAAUUAUUCACAAAUAACUUCAGGAAAGGUUGAAGAAGUUGAUGUAUAAUAAACAAAAAAUGCAAAGUUUUCACAAGAUUUACAAUUGUUUCGGUAGAUUUUUUAGGGACCGAGACACUAAUCUUUUUUUAAGUGUGGCUUUACCGUUUUUCGAUGCCUGAAUUAUUUGGAUAGUCUGUUUUCCUUCAGUCUGGAUCGCUCGCUUCUCUUUGGCCGCUCGAUGUUUUUUUUUAUGGAGGGGGGAAGUAUCUGCAAAAGGUACUCCGACGCUCAAGUUAGGAGCGAUUUGAUGAGCCUCAGUUCAUAAUUGAGUAUUUAGUGAUUUUGUUAUCACUGUAGAAUAUUUUCAGAGGAGUGGAGUGUGAGUAGAAUGUGAAUGGGGUAUGAUUAGAAGAUGAUUCGAAAGUACUGGCUUGUGGCUCUCAAACUGAUAUAAAUCCAACAAAAUAUAAACAGAAUAUAAAUAUCUUUAAUAAGAUAUUCUUGACUAUUUUAUAUUUUUAAUAAAGUAUAUCGUAACCGCUUGACCAUGAUAUCAUAAUGUCCAACAAUAUUUGCGUCCAAUUUUUUUUAUACAAGUUUUACAUCAAAGGUCAAAAAGCUUUGAUAACGAGUUUGAUUUAGUUUGGAGCUUUGGAUAUACAUGUUUCAAAUGUGAAAAAUAGUAAAAGUCAUUUAAAAAAGUUUCCACUUGAGUAUGAAUGUAGACAAAAUAAUAUAAUUUUUGAUAUUGACAGAGAAACUGUAUACUGUCCUUGAUUUUUAGUUUACAGGAGAGUCGUACGUAGGGCCAAAUUAAGGAACAGAAACAAAUUAUACAGCAAAAUUCAAACGUUUGAUGUUUUAAAAACAAUCAAUUAUGUCACCAAAAUUGACAGCUUGAUGCUACAAUGAAACAAAUUUAGUUUUCAACCACCUUAAUAAGUACCUUAACAAGUGUUAGUUAACUUGAUCCUCAUUUAAAUAUUCAUAACCAUACAAAAUUUCCCAGUGUCAGAAAAUCAAAACAACACUCUUCAUACGAAGGACUGUUCGUGGGUAGGUUCGGAAGGAUUAGGGCUAAAAGUCAAACAAUCCCAUCCAAACUUCAUACAGUAUUUGGUGCAGUUUCUUCUUGCACCUCCAUAAAUUUCUAUUUGCAUCUUCGUAUAAAUAAAAUUUUCAUUCUAUCAUUUUUUUUAAUGGUGCAAGAAAUAAAAAAAUAACUUCUAAAUUACGGAAUCUAAAACGUUUACAUAAUUUGAAAAUUACUUUGACUUUCGUGUUAUAUAAUCCAAAACGAUUUUUAAAAUUACUUCUGACAUUUUUAAGAAAAAUAAUUAUGUUUAGAUUGUACAAUCUAAUCUGAAAGGUUUUUUUUUUUUAAUUUUCAGAUUACACUAUCUAAAUCUGAAAGGGAUAAAAUGAGAAUUUUUUUUUUAUAUAUAUAAAAAUGCUGAAGGAAAGUUAUGGAAGUACAGCAUUUGGUAAUCCAUAGCUGACAGCUCUCACCUGGUUCUGCGGGUUUUCUUUGAUGUAACGGGUUAUGAAAAUGGAGGGUGUUUUGUUCUUUUUAUUAUUAAAUCAGUUUUCUCACCUUAAACUUUUAGUUUUUGCUUACCUUUAUAACAAUACUUAAAUAACAGUUGAAUGGGAUUCUAAUUUUUUAAUUAAAUCUUUUUUUUUUUAAAUUUUACUCGAUUAAGUUUUUUUUUAAUAUCGUUUAAAUAGUUAAAAUUGUCAUGUCAUCAUUUUAUUAAUAUUUUUUUUAAUUUUAAUUUUAAAAAAUAUUUUUUUCUUAAAUAUUUUUAAACGUUUAUUUAUUUUUUCAAUUUAAUCUCUAUAUUUAUCAUUUUUGUUUAAUUAAUUUAUAAUUUUCUAAAAUAAAAUAAUUUUAUUUUCUCUAAAUAGGUAUUAAAUUAAUUAUUAUAUAAAUAUUAUAUUGAUACUUUUAUUAAAAUUGAUAUUUUUAAUAGUUAAUAUCUAUAAAAUUACUUUUAAACCAACUCUAAUAAUUAUAUCAUAACAAUAUAAUUAGAGUUAGUUUAAAAAUGAUUUCAAAAAUAUUAAAAAAAAGUUUGAAAUGAUAGAUGUAUUAAAAAAUUUUCUCUUUAAAAGGUUAAAAACUUAGGUAUAUUAUUUUUAUCAAUUUGAUUACUUAUAUGAAAAUUUUAAUAAAAGUAUAUAUAUUCAAUGAAACAAGACAAUUGAAAAGUUUGAAAUGACAAUGAAAUAAUCUAAAAAAAAAGCAUUACAACAAAAUCAUUCCCAUAAUUACUUAACAAAUAAGUCACUUAAUUCACAUAAUUACUUAACAGAUAAGUUACUUAAAAGAUGUCAAUAAAUAAUACAAAGAGCAAAUAUUGUUUUAUUUAAAAAAUUAAAAAUGAAUAAAAAUAACAAAUUUAAAAACUGAAUUGAAAAACAAUCAUUUUUUUUCUAAAAAAUUAAAAGAAAAUUUAAAAAUUUAAAAAUUAACAAAAGUAAAAAAAAAAUACAGAUUAACACCUCGUAUACACUGCCCACAUGCCAUUAAUUAUCUAAACAAUAUUAAAAACUAAUAAUUAAAAAAUAAAACUAGAACUACGUUUGAAAAAAAAGUAAAGAAAUGUAUAAUACUUAUAUAUUUGUACGUCAUUUGGAAAAAAGAAUUAAUCAAAGUAUAAUAUUUAAAUAUUUGUACGGCAUUUUGGAAAAAAGAAUUAAUAGAAGUAUCAUAUUUUAUUUUAAUGAAAUAUCUAUCAUCAUCUCGUAUCUAAUUCCUAAAUUCUCAAUUUCAUCGUGACCAAUCCUUUUUCUACCUCCUCACCAUCUCCCAUCUCUCCUCUAUUUUCCAAUAUUAUUCUUUUCCCAUAUAAAUUGUUCAUAGUUUAACAACUUCUAUGAGAAUUUAUUUUGUAAGAAGAGGAAGGAUAGCUUGGAUUUGGUAACGAGGAGACCAAGGUUCCAACUGGAGUGAGUUUCAAUUAUUAUUUUUCUUUCAAUUGCAGAAUUGAAACCACGGUCAUAAAUAACAGAAUGCAUUUUCUUUUGUACGUUUGAAAAACGCAUUUUGGUUGGGUUCUAAAUUUUAUAAUCUGUGUUCAGUUGAGUCGGCAGUUCUGCUCACCAAUACGAUGAUAUAUCGGGGAACAAUCUUUUAUGAACCCACCUAUUCCAAUGUCCAAAAAUAGUAAACAUUUUGGACAAACCCUAACCUAUAUACCCUUGUUAAAGAAUUAACAAAAGUUUUUUAUGAGUAAUGAGAAACUACAGCACUGUUUCGCGUGUCGCUUACGUAUGAUUAACAAGACCAACAUUUUCAACUCGUUUUUCCUGUAAAGGCUUUUUAUUCAACUAUUGGGGGUGGGUUUUUUAUGACUAUUUUAAGAAAACGAAUCUGUUCAUAUUAUCACUUACCAGCCAAUGCCAGUAUCUUCAUCAAAAUCUCAAGAUAUUAAUAUCGUUCAUCUCGAAUUUCUACAGCAAAACUGAACCUUUUCCUUCAAUUCCAUCUACAUCUCCUCACUUGUCAACAUCCUGGGCGUAUAAUGUCAUACAAG